GCCAGGUAGGCUAUAGUUAUGCAUAAUAAAUUGAGCAUUUUGUUGAGUUUGAAUAUCAUACCGUAAUAGAGAUGUCUAUACAAUGCAUUUUUUGUGGUAAAUUCUUCAUAUUUAAAUCACUUAUUUGUAAUAUUUCUAUGUGUGAAAUAGGAAGAAAUCUCCCUUGUGUGUUAAAUACACACAUAGGGUUCUCUAUUUAUAAUAAAAGAAAUAUGGGUUAAGCCCAAAUAUAAAUGAAUAUGUAAGAAUAAAAUAAAAUAAGAACAAUGUUUCCCUAAUAAACAUAUAGGGACUAUAUUUCCCUUAUUAAUAUAAACUAAAUAUAAUAUCUCUAAUACUCUCCCUCAAGCUGGAGCAUACAGAUUGUAUGGACCAAACUUGGAAUAAAUAAGCUCAAUUUGAAAUAUAUGAUCUGUCUUCAAGAGUGUGUGACAAAUAGAUGUGCAAUCACAUAUCGACAAACAACUGACAUCAAUUUAUGGAUAGUAGUAAACAACUGCGAAACUUCAAAUAACACUAUGAAACUUCAAGUGGGAUGACUUUGACAAAGGAGAACAAUGACAAACUCCAGGGACUGGAUUGCCAUCAAGUAAGGAUGGGGCUUGAAUCAAAACUACAGGGAUUGCCAUCAUUGACUGAUGGAGCCUGUAGUGGCUAAAAACGACAAAACUACCGGGAAUGCCAUCAUUGACUGAUGGGGCCUGUAGUGGCUAGAAGCGACAAAACUAUAAGGAAUGUCAUCACUGAUUGAUUACCGAGAAAAUCGAUACAUGGAAAGUAUUUAGCGCCGCCAUAACCCUACCUUCUUUUAAUUCUUUUUUCGAUUUUGCUCUUUCGUGGCCCUUAAAUUACAGUUAUACCCUUCUGGUUAUGAGAGCUUCCAACCGGCGCAAGCUAGAGCCACCGAGUCGAAGCUCUUCUUCACUACUCGGCUUCCCUCGUCACAGAUAUUGUCGGUACUGCCAAUUGAAAUAGAGAUUCGUCGAGCCAGUCGAACAAACACUUCUCAAAGUCCAUCUUUACCCUUUCCUGUAAAUAUUCUUUCUUUUUUACUUAACGGUUCGUAACCAAGAUGCAAAACUUGAAGAACAACCGCAACGGCCAGGCCGAGCCUCACCGUCGGGGGAAGUUAACAAACAAAUCCUCUUCCUUUCACAGUCACUCAUCGUCAACCGCUGGCAUGCUGGGCACAUCAAUUAGAUGGCCAAUGAUGGUGCCAGAACUUUUGCUAGUCACAAAAAACCACUAAAAACACUUAUAAACUCCUCAAAAACCAUUAUAAAGCCUUAAAAAUCACCAAAAAUGCUUAAAAACACUUAUAAACACCUCAAAAACCACUAUAAACCCUUAAAAACCACUAAAAACCCAUAAAAACAUAUAAACCUCUUAAAAACUAUUAUAAACCCUUAAAAACCACUAAAAACCCCUAAAAAUACUUACAAAUAUCUCAAAAGUCACUAUGAACCAUUGAAAACCACUAAAAACCCUGAAAACACUUAUAAAUCCCUAAAAAACUACUAUAAGUCCUUAAGAACUACUAAAAACCCCUAAACAAUCUUAUAAACCUCUUAAAAACCAUAAUAAACCCUUAAGAACCCCUAAAAACUUAUAAACCCCUCAAAAACCACUAUAAACCCUUAAAAACCACUAAAAAACCUAAAAACACUUAUAAUCCCCUAAAAAACAAAUUUAAACCCUUAAAAACCAGUAAAAAUCCUUAGUAACCCUUAUAAACCCUUAAAAACAACUAAAAACCCCUUAAAACACUUAUAAACUCAAAAAGAAUCACAAAAAAUCCUUAAAAAUCAUUAAAAACCCCUAAAAACACUUAUAAAUCCCUCAAAAACCAACAUAAAUCCGUUAAAGCCACUAAAACCCCCUAAAAACACGUAUAAACUCCUAAAAAACCAUUAUAAACCCCUAAAAAUCACUAGAAACCCUAAAGACACUUAUAAACUCAUUAGAAACCAUUAUAAACCCUUAAAAACCACUAGAAACCCCUAAAAACACGUAUAAAGUCCUCAAAAAACCAUUAUAAAUCCCUAAAAAUCACUAGAAAUCCCUAAAGACACUUAUAAACCCAUCAAAAACCAUUAUAAACCCUUUAAAACCACUAAAACCCUUAAAAACACUUAUAAACCCCUCAAAAACUAUUAUAAAGCCUUCAAACACACUAAAAACCUCUAAAAACACUUAUAAACCUCUCAAAAAUCACUAUAAACCAUUAAAAACCACUAAAAAGCCCUAAAAGAAUUUAUAAAUGCUUCAAAAACCACUAAAAACCCUUAAAAAUUUGAACCUUUAGUCCCCGUUUUUAAAAAUGUCAACCUUUAGUCCCUAUGAUAUGAAAAAUGUAUCAAACCAUAUUUUAAAAAUGUCAACCUUUAGGACAAAAAAAGGAUUUAAACCUAUUUUUAAACUAUAUUAAGUUAACCUACAUUUAUCUAGUUGUUAAGAGAAACUUUCCAAAUAAUAUUUAUUAUCUUACCAAAAAUAAAAUCUUUGAAACAAAAUUUAUAUAGGUAGAGUCUAUCUUUGAUAAAAUUUAUUUUGGGUAGAGCCUAUCUAGGGUAGAGCCUAUAUGGGGUAGAGCCUAUCUAGGAUAGAGUCUAUUUGUGGUAGAGCCUAUCUGGGGUAGAACAUAUCUGGGGUAGAGCCUAUAUGGGGUAGUGCCUAUGUGGGGUAUAACCUAUCUGGGGUAUAACCUAUCUGGAGUAGAGCCUAUUUGUGGUAGAACUUAUCUGGGGUAGUGUCUAUCUGGGGUAGUGUCUAUUCAGGGUAGUGUCUAUCUAGGGUAGUGUCUAUCUGGGGUAGUGUCUAUCUGGGGUAUAACCUAUCUGGGGUAGAGCCUAUCUGGGGUAGAGCCUAUCUGGGGUAGAGCCUAUCUGGGGUAGAGCCUAUCUGGGGGAGAACCUAUCUGGGGUAGAACCUAUCUGGGGUAGAACCUAUCUGGGGUAGAACCUAUCUGGGGUAGAACCUAUCUGGGUAGAACCUAUGUGGGAUAUAACCUAUUUGGGGUAGAGACUAUCUGGGGUAGUCUAUCUGUGGUAGAGCUUAUCUGGAUUAGAGCCUAUCUGGGGUAGAGCCUAUCUGGGAUAGUGCCUAUCCCUAUCUAGGGUAGAGCCUAUCUGGGGUAGAGCCUAUCUGAGGUAGAGCCUAUUUGGGAUAUAACCUAUCUGGGGUAUAACCUAUCU
rnacentral:lncRNA from 1 species